AAAGUUCGUAAGAAAGAAGACACACUUUUAACAAAUACCAAGGGGCGAAUCUACAUUAUGCCUAGGUCUACCAAGAUGUGGCAACAUGAAGCUCCUAGCUCAUCCGACAUUGGGCACCUAGCAUGGAAGAAAAUCACUCCAUCAUGAGCAAAAAUUACAUAUGUGGUUCCGGCUACAUGGAAGAAUAAACCCCAAAAAUCGACUCUUUAGAUUUGGAAUCUGAUGAAUUGAAGAUGAUGGGUGUGCCCUUUGCAAGGAGGAAAGUUUGAUCAUCUAUUCUUCAGCUACCAAUUCUCCUCCGCCAUGUGGUAUUUUUAUUGCUUUCAUAUUUUACUGCAUCCCAAACCAAACAUAACAAAUCUACUUUUGUGGCGUGGAACACCGUUUACAAGGUUGAUAUAAAAACUUUGAUGUCAAUGUUCUACAUAUUUACAUUAUCUAUAUAGGAUAAUAUGAAUAAGAUGGUUUUCUAAGACCUCAA